UACGGAAGGCAGCAGUGGGGAAUAUUGCACAAUGGGCGAAAGCCUGAUGCAGCUAUGCCGCGUGUAUGAAGAAGGCCUUAGGGUUGUAAAGUACUUUCAUCGGGGAGGAAAAAACAAAACUAAUAAUUUUAUUUCUUGACGUUACCCGAAAAAGAAGCACCGGCUAACUCCGUGCCAGCAGCCGCGGUAAUACGGAGGGUGCUAGCGUUAAUCAGAAUUACUGGGCGUAAAGAGCACGUAGGUGGUUUUUUUAAGUCAGAUGUGAAAUCCCUGGGCUUAACCUAGGAACUGCAUUUUGAAACUGAAAUACUAGAGUAUCGUAGAGGGAGGUAGAAUUCUAGGUGUAGCGGUGAAAUGCGUAAAUAUCUGGAGGAAUACCUGUGGCGAAAGCGGCCUCCUAAACGAAUACUGACACUGAGGUGCGAAAGCGUGGGGAGCAAACAGGGAUUAGAUACC
rnacentral:rRNA from 1 species